GCCACUAUGACGUUUUUUGACACUACACCCUUGGGUCUUAUCCUCCUGGUCAAUGUGUUUGGGCUGCUCGGGAUGCUGCUUGUCAUGAGCUAUGGGCUGCCUUGGGUGCUGCUUCCUUUACUUCCUCUGGGGGUGCUCUACUACCAAACUCAGUGUCGUGAGCUCAAAGUCAAACAUGUGUAGCCUCACGCUUUCUCCAGUUUAUUCACACUUCUCCAAAACGCUCAGAGGCCUGUCUACAGUGUGGGCCAGUGCACGCACUACCAGGUGGCCUGGAUUCGGAGGAUGGAAAGAGGGGAAGUCUCUGUCUGUGGGCCAGAGGCAGCUACUGUGUCUUGCCCGUGCUCUUCUUACAGAGCCUAAUAUUUUAUGCAUUUAUGCAAGACUGACAUGCAUCUGCAGAAAACUAUCAGAGAAAAAUUCAAAGAUAAAACUCACCCACGGAUAUCAAAUUGCUUGCAUAUUUGCAUAUGAUUUCUAUUUGAGUUUUCUUUUAUUUGAACUUUAAGUAUGGAAUGAAAAUAAAGAGGGAAAACCCCUUUAUAGCGAUGCA
ensembl:lncRNA